GCUUGCGCGCGCUCUCUCUCUCUCUCUCUCUCUCUCUCAAAAACAAAUAAACAUCAAAAAAAAUAAAAUAUUCCCCAGAGAACCCUAACACCUCUGUCCUUUGGGAGCCACCUGGGUGAGGAUGACCUCCUGGCUGCAGAAAUGACUGACGGUCCUGACCCUCCUGGGGCCGCCUGACGCCAUCCCAGUGGGGAUGGGAAGGGUGCCUCAUGGUGGCCAAUCUGGGAUGGACAUCCAGGCUCCCCUGUGGUUACCAGCUGGCUGGGGUGAAAGUCCCUGCUCCCCUACUUGGCCUUCCCAGAGAGUCUGCCAGCCCGGCAGAGAUGUUGGGGCACCUGGCGACAAGCCUGGGGAGGGUGCAAAUCUAGGCUCAACCUUUGGCUGCUGGUGUGGGGGUGGCCACAGUUUGUCCGUGGUAGAAUGUCUGGAAUAGAGUGGCCAUUUCCCAAGUUCUGCCUUCUUAGGCUACCCCUUUCCUGGUCCUCUGGCUGGAGAGAGCAGGCUUAUUAUUAAUACUACUAUUAGGGCGCCUGGGUGGCUCAGUCAGUGAAGCAUCUGACUCUGGUCUCGGCUCAGGUCAUGAUCUCACCAUUCAUGAGUUUGAUCCCUGCAUCAGGCUCUGCACUAGGGGUACAGCUAGGGAUUCUCUCUCUCCCCCUCUAUCUGCCCCUCCCCUGCUAGCUCUCUCUCUCUCUCUCUGUCUCUCUCUCUCGGAAUAAGUAAAUAAACUUUAAAAAAAAUUAUACACAAAACCGAAAAAACACAAAGGGCUCAUCCCACCGGCAAUAAACGUUUUUGUUUCUAGGUUGCGAAUUCCUUCACUUCUUGGGUGUAUAUAGAAUGUCCUGGAUUUGGUUGGAUUUAAUGGGCGGAACAGCGAAGCACACACCCAUCUUGCCGGAAGCGGAGAUCUCCCUGCCUUUUUGUGUGAAGAGUGUGGCUUCAGCCGACUGCUGAGGAGCCUGGAGUUCUUGGCCGUGGUUUUUUCCUCUGAGUCGGAAUCAUUUUCUCCCCGGGCUUCCAGAAUCACCAGAGGAAUCUUCAUGGCAGAAUCUACAAGCCGCGCCACCUUCUCUCUCUGAAGCCAAGCCCACGACGCCCUAGAAACUUCCCUGGAACGUCCUGUCUGUGCCUGGCUGAUGCGGAGACUUGCCGCCCCGGUUCACCUUCUUGUCGCCUCUGUUCUGAGAGGAGAAGGCGAUUUGAGCUCUCGUAUGACGAGGCGCCCAGAAACCACCACGGACUUCCUUCUUUCCUGCACCGGUGUCCGACCUCCCCCCGUCCCCAGCAGUCGACAGCUGAGGGUCUGCUGGUAUUUUGAUGAUUGUUUCCAGCUGUCCCAGCGGGACUUAUUUGAUUAAGCCUCGUUUUCUACAUCAAAUGUACCACUCUGCCUUCAUCGUAUGGCAGAUUCUCGUACACUGGAACAAAAAACCGACCUUCUCGAUCAGCACACGUGAAUCGAAAUAAUGAAUAGGUGUUUUCACCUAUUGGUUUGGCAAACAAAUUUUUUUUUUUUUUUUUUUUAGUUUGAGGCUAUGCUGUCCUGGGGAAGGAGUAAGACAGCGUUCUUGUGCUCUGUCGGCCUGAGGGGUGCCAGGGGGCACGUGCUUUUGUGAACAAUUUGGCAAAAGUCACCAACAGUUUUUUGUUUUUUAAAUGCACGAACUUUAUUUGUUUAACCUUUAUUUUUGAGAGACACAGAGACAGAGACAGAGUGUGAGCAGGGAAGGAGCAGGGAGAGAGGGACACACAGAAUCUGAGGCAGGCUCCGGGCUCCGUGCUGUCAGCCCAGAGCCCGAUGCGGGGCUCUAGCCUGCGAGCUGUGACAUCAUGACCUGGACCCAAGUCAAAAGCCAGACGCUUAGCCCCCGGAGCCAGCAGGAGCCCUACUUUUUUUGUAAACACACAUUACUCUUCUAGGUUCCCUGUUCCCUUCCAUCCUUCCCUGUUCCAACACAGGGACACGUAGGUUGUGGCGACUGGAAGAAAACCAGAAU